rnacentral:rRNA from 1 species
GACGAACGCUGGCGGCGUGCUUAACACAUGCAAGUCGAACGGUAAGGCCCUUCGGGGUACACGAGUGGCGAACGGGUGAGUAACACGUGGGUGAUCUGCCCUGCACUUCGGGAUAAGCCUGGGAAACUGGGUCUAAUACCGGAUAGGACCACUGCCGCAUGGGUGGUGGUGGAAAGCUUUUGCGGUGUGGGAUGGGCCCGCGGCCUAUCAGCUUGUUGGUGGGGUGAUGGCCUACCAAGGCGACGACGGGUAGCCGGCCUGAGAGGGUGACCGGCCACACUGGGACGGAGAUACGGCCCAGACUCCUACGGGAGGCAGCAGUGGGGAAUAUUGCACAAUGGGUGCAAGCCUGAUGCAGCGACGCCGCGUGAGGGAUGACGGCCUUCGGGUUGUAAACCUCUUUCAGCACCGACGAAGCGCAAGUGACGGUAGGUGCAGAAGAAGGACCGGCCAACUACGUGCCAGCCGCCGCCGUAA